rnacentral:rRNA from 1 species
GACGAACGCUGGCGGCGUGCCUAAUACAUGCAAGUUGAGCGAUGAAGAUUGGUGCUUGCACCAAUUUGAAGAGCAGCGAACGGGUGAGUAACGCGUGGGGAAUCUGCCUUUGAGCGGGGGACAACAUUUGGAAACGAAUGCUAAUACCGCAUAACAACUUUAAACAUAAGUUUUAAGUUUGAAAGAUGCAAUUGCAUCACUCAAAGAUGAUCCCGCGUUGUAUUAGCUAGUUGGUGAGGUAAAGGCUCACCAAGGCGAUGAUACGUAGCCGACCUGAGAGGGUGAUCGGCCACAUUGGGACUGAGACACGGCCCAAACUCCUACGGGAGGCAGCAGUAGGGAAUCUUCGGCAAUGGACGAAAGUCUGACCGAGCAACGCCGCGUGAGUGAAGAAGGUUUUCGGAUCGUAAAACUCUGUUGGUAGAGAAGAACGUUGGCGAGAGUGGAAAGCUCAUCAAGUGACGGUAACUACACAGAAAGGGACGGCUAACUACGUG